rnacentral:lncRNA from 1 species
AUGGUAUUAUCAUAACAAGUCUUUACUUGAAUGGAAUAAACAUGGAACACUUUCACGGAUUCAUUUUUCAUUGUGUUCAUGGUUGCCUAUCAAUGACACCGUUUUUAAUGUAUGUCUAAAAGAUUAUUAUCCGAAAAAUAAUUCACAAUAGUACGUUGUUACUGACUAGGUUGGUCCCCUCCGUAAAACAUUCAGUAUGCCUUCGGAACAUACAAAUAUUAAGGUAUUGUCAAGAAUUUCAAUAACGGCCGGGAAACAAACUAGUUGUUAACCUUCUAUGAUUAUUAAAGAAUGACGGAUGUUGUUUUUUUUUCGGUACGUCUUAACACUGCUAAGGAAUCCUUAGUGCACUAAGGCUUUGACUAUACAAUGCCACUAAGGAAUAGAAGGAGUGCUGUUAUAUGUAUUAUUUUUAUAUAUCAUGUUAGAGAUUGAUAUUUAAUGCAUAAAUUUCAAAUUUUACAGAAAAAUAAUCAUAAAUAAACGAGAUAUUCAACAUUAUUUAGACACGUGCCGGUUUUUCUUUGAUAUGCCGAAAAUCAAUGAACCGUUUGACACGUGCCAAAUAACAUA